rnacentral:snoRNA from 12 species
CCUGGCAAUGAUGACCCACUUGCCCUCACUGAGAACAAAGUUCGGUAAUGAGAACCUUUGUUGACUCGAGUUCUGAGCCAGG